rnacentral:rRNA from 1 species
GAUGAACGCUGGCGGCGUGCCUAAUACAUGCAAGUCGAGCGAACAGACGAGGAGCUUGCUCCUUUGACGUUAGCGGCGGACGGGUGAGUAACACGUGGAUAACCUACCUAUAAGACUGGGAUAACUUCGGGAAACCGGAGCUAAUACCGGAUAACAUGUUGAACCGCAUGGUUCAACAGUGAAAGACGGUCUUGCUGUCACUUAUAGAUGGAUCCGCGCCGCAUUAGCUAGUUGGUAAGGUAACGGCUUACCAAGGCAACGAUGCGUAGCCGACCUGAGAGGGUGAUCGGCCACACUGGAACUGGGACACGGUCCAGACUCCUACGGGAGGCAGCAGUAGGGAAUCUUCCGCAAUGGGCGAAAGCCUGACGGAGCAACGCCGCGUGAGUGAAGAAGGUCUUCGGAUCGUAAAACUCUGUUAUUAGGGAAGAACAAAUGUGUAAGUAACUAUGCACGUCUUGACGGUACCUAAUCAGAAAGCCACGGCUAACUACGUG